CGGGCAAUGCAUUAGAGUGAAAUUAAUUUCUCCUGGAUGUUUCAUCAUAUGUAGCAUAGAGGGCGUAAUGUUUUCCCGCUUCAAAAUUAUUUUCGCGGUAUUUUAUUGCCUAUGUAAUCAUUCAGCACGACAUCGUCAAUCUGAGCAGUCGAAUUUUCUUGGUAAAUUUUAUUCUGGUUAAAGUUUAUUAAGCUUUUUAUUUGGAGAGUUUUUUGUUUGAUACUGAUGUUUGAAUUAUAUAUGAUAUGUGUAGAUAUAUAUGUAUGAAUUGUGCUUAUUUCUUAUUAAAUAUAGAGCAUCGGCGUUGUCGUGCGACUAUCCACUUUACUAAGUCUUUGGUAUUUAUUAUAGCCUUUUAUGGGGUGCAUAUUC
rnacentral:lncRNA from 1 species